AGCGAACGCUGGCGGCAGGCCUAACACAUGCAAGUCGAACGAACCCUUCGGGGUUAGUGGCGGACGGGUGAGUAACACGUGGGAACGUGCCUUUAGGUUCGGAAUAACUCAGGGAAACUUGUGCUAAUACCGAAUGUGCCCUUCGGGGGAAAGAUUUAUCGCCUUUAGAGCGGCCCGCGUCUGAUUAGCUAGUUGGUGAGGUAAUGGCUCACCAAGGCUACGAUCAGUAGCUGGUGUGAGAGGAUGACCAGCCACAUUGGGACAGAGACACGGACCAAAGUCCUACGGGAGGCAACGGUGGGGAAUCUUGCGCAAUGGGCGAAAGCCUGAAGCAGCCAUGCCGCCUGGAUGAUGAAGGUCUUAGGAUUGUAAAAUCCUUUCACGGGUGAAGAUAAUGACUGUCGCCGGAGAAGAAGCCCCGGCUAACUUCGUGCCAGCCGCCUCGGUAAGAC
rnacentral:rRNA from 1 species